rnacentral:rRNA from 1 species
GACGAACGCUGGCGGCGUGCCUAAUACAUGCAAGUAGAACGCUGAAGGAGGAGCUUGCUUCUCUGGAUGAGUUGCGAACGGGUGAGUAACGCGUAGGUAACCUGCCUGGUAGCGGGGGAUAACUAUUGGAAACGAUAGCUAAUACCGCAUAAGAGUAGAUGUUGCAUGACAUUUGCUUAAAAGGUGCAAUUGCCUCACUACCAGAUGGACCUGCGUUGUAUUAGCUAGUUGGUGAGGUAACGGCUCACCAAGGCAACGAUACAUAGCCGACCUGAGAGGGUGAUCGGCCACACUGGGACUGAGACACGGCCCAGACUCCUACGGGAGGCAGCAGUAGGGAAUCUUCGGCAAUGGACGGAAGUCUGACCGAGCAACGCCGCGUGAGUGAAGAAGGUUUUCGGAUCGUAAAGCUCUGUUGUAAGAGAAGAACGAGUGUGAGAGUGGAAAGUUCACACUGUGACGGUAUCUUACCAGAAAGGGACGGCUAACUACGUG